rnacentral:tRNA from 1 species
GUCUGGCUGGCUUGUUUGGUAAAGCAAGUGACUCCUGAUCUUGGGGUUGUGAGUUCAAGUCCCAUGUUAGAUG